UGGAGGGCCUUGUGUACCAGGGUAAGGAACUUCAGUAUCAUCUUCUGGUAAUGAAGAGCCACUGAAGAAUUUUAAGCAGAGAAUGACAAGAGGGCAGUCAUUGGAAAGUGGACUCAGAAGUUCUUUCAACGUAUGAGCCUUUCAUCUGAGAGAACAUGACUGUGAAGAAAGAGCACUGGAUGAGGAGUCAGGAGGCAAUCUGCUAGUGCAAACUCCAAAAUUGCCCAUAUAUUCUGAAUUGAAAGACUAGGAGGCAGAGCUGCAAAGAGAAGCUUUCACAGGCAGCAGAGAACCAGAGAAGCAAGAAGACGGAUGACCCAGACGAAAGACAAGUAGCUUAGCAGGAAGAGCUCUGUCCUUGGCCUUGAGUUGU